rnacentral:rRNA from 1 species
UACGUAGGUGGCAAGCGUUUGUCCGGAAUUAUUGGGCGUAAAGCGCGCGCAGGCGGUCUCUUAAGUCUGAUGUGAAAUCCCGUGGCUUAACCACGGGCGGUCAUUGGAAACUGGGGGACUUGAGUGCAGAAGAGAAGAGCGGAAUUCCACGUGUAGCGGUGAAAUGCGUAGAGAUGUGGAGGAACACCAGUGGCGAAGGCGGCUCUUUGGUCUGUAACUGACGCUGAGGCGCGAAAGCGUGGGGAGCGAACAGG